CGGUGUUUGGGUUUUAGGUUCUGUUUGGUUUCGCGUUUUAUUUAAUCCGUGUUUAUGUUUUUGUUUUUUUUUUUUUGUUUUCUAGUGUGGUUGGUGUUUGCCAGAGCAUGAUGGGGAUGAGUGGAACCAAGAUGGGGAUACCCAGUUGGCCAUUUCCUGGUGUGUCUGCUCUUUGGUAUCUUAAUUUCAUUGCUAAUAAUAAUGAUUUUCUCAUGCUAAUUACUUCUUCCGUAUCUAAUCUGAGCAAAAAAAAAAAAAAAAACAAGUGGUGGCAGUCCCCAAAACGACGCCGGAUAAAUGUACAAUUAACAAGGUAGAUAAUUAAAUUAUUAGAUUGUGCUAACCGAAUGUGG
rnacentral:lncRNA from 1 species